AUCAGACAGCAAUCUAUUCUAAAACAGAAAGGAAGAAGAAAGCGUUAUCACCUUGAAUUUUGAAAAUGCCAACGCUAAGCUUCCUCUAUAACUAGCUCCUCCUGAGCAGCUCCUGCCCAGCUGAGGGAGGGGGCCCUGCCUGAGAGCUCCUGGCUCUUCCCAACCUCGGAAAAGGUAACAUAAGCAUGUUCAUGUUCAAAAGCAUCUAUGGGGACAAAUUUAAAAAGAAAAAUAGACUGCUUUUAAAAGAGAUGCAGCAUUAUAUUAUGCACACAGAUGCUCUUCAAAUCAGCAUGAAUCCAUUUUUACUAUUUCUGAAUUUUGUAGGAUCUUGCUCUACUCACAAAGACUUAAGAACUCAUUGCUUUUCAAACUCAUUAAUAACUUGAGGAUUAUUUUCCACUUGCAUGGAAUUUUCAGUAGGCCCUCCUCUGAAAUGUAGGUAUUGUAGCAAAAAUAAUGGCAGUAGGCUGAAAGACACCGGGGCAAUUUACAAUUUGAAAACUUUAAAUAAUUUCUAAUUCCCUGAUUUAUUUUAUAGGUUCUGCCUAAUAUUGUUCAAGUCCCUUACUACAUAGCUUGGCUGGGCACAUUUGAUUUGAUUUAUAUUCCUAAAUCUUGAUGAGAGAGUCUACAUUCAUGAUAAGGGAGGUACUGGCCAGGAACACAUCCAGAGUCACUUUCUUUGCUACUACUGUGAUUUACGCCACACUUUA
rnacentral:lncRNA from 1 species